CGGGCCAAGUUGUUGGUUGUUCUGCGGUGGUUUCUGCUUCCCUGCUGCAAGACACUUUUACGAAGAGGGCGGUGAUUAGAGGGACUAAGCCCUCUCGGGCCUUAGUGAUUAUGAGUCAGUGUGCCGCCCAGCGGCCAGCGCAUCCGUGCGUCCUGUCAACGUCGUUCAGGUGACACGGGCCACGCUAUCCGCAGGCAUCAUGCCUAGUAGCAGCGGGCGGUAGAUAGAAACGUUUGUAGCGCCCGAGGAGAGUGGGGCAAGUGGUGGUCGUAGGCCUAGCGCCCGCUGCGCCUGCAGACAGGCGAUGCGUGAUGCGUGAGUUCAAAGUCGUGGUGCUGGGCAGCGGCGGCGUGGGUAAGAGCGCCCUAACGGUACAGUUCGUGCAGGGCGUGUUCACCGAGAAGUAUGAUCCGACCAUCGAGGACUUCUAUCGCAAGGAGAUUGAGGUUGACCAGGCGCCGUGCGUGCUCGAGAUACUCGACACGGCGGGCACCGAGCAGUUCGCCUCAAUGCGCGACCUGUACAUCAAGAACGGCCAGGGAUUCGUGGUCGUCUACUCCAUCACGAGCCACCACACGUUCCAGGACAUUAAGAAUAUGAAGGAGCAGAUACUGCGCGUCAAGAACGCCGAGCGCGUGCCCGUGCUGCUCGUGGGCAACAAGUGCGACCUCGAGCACCAGCGCGAGGUGACGCGCGCCGAGAUGGAGGCGCUCGCGCAGCUGUGGGGCUGCCCCUGCAUGGAAGCGUCGGCCAAGAACCGCUGCAACGUCAACGAGAUGUUCGCCGAAAUCGUGCGCGAGAUGAACGUGCUGCCGCCCAAGGAGAAAUACAGCUACCGAUGCUGCGCCUUGCUUUAGCACAGACAGGUGAGCUAAGCCUGGCCGGAAGUCCGCCGCCCUUCUUGCGUGCACGAUCACCCCAUGGAGGCAGCGAGUGCUUUUUUAACCGGAAGAAGGAGCUACCAGACUGCUACAGGACAGUCAGUGCCCAAGGAGGCAGCAGAACACAGCACUGUGUAUGUGUGUACGGUUUUAGGUGUCGUUACAUUGAAUGUUUUUUCUAUGGGACUCGGAAGAAGGAACAAAGAUUGCCGACAGAACAGUAGGUGCCUUCCACAUUCUUCGUCCCUGGCCAGUUCCUUUACCUGCUUACCACAGCCCCAACAGACGUGACUUAGCAAGUGCAAUAAACAGAAUGUUGCCCAUGGU